rnacentral:tRNA from 1 species
GCCGCUAUAGCUCAACUGGUAGAGCAAUAGAUUUGUAAUCUAUAGGUUGUGGGUUCAAGUCCUACUGGCGGCACCA